rnacentral:rRNA from 1 species
UACAGAGGGGGCAAGCGUUGUUCGGAAUUACUGGGCGUAAAGGGCGCGUAGGCGGCCGCCUAAGUCAGACGUGAAAUCCCUCGGCUCAACCGGGGAACUGCGUCUGAUACUGGGUGGCUUGAAUCCGGGAGAGGGAUGUGGAAUUCCAGGUGUAGCGGUGAAAUGCGUAGAGAUCCGGAGGAACACCAGUGGCGAAGGCGACACGCUGGGCCGUACCUGACACUGAUGCGCGACAGCAUGGGGAGCAAACAGG